rnacentral:rRNA from 1 species
UACGGGGGGGGCAAGCGUUGUUCGGAAUUACUGGGCGUAAAGGGCUCGUAGGCGGCCAACUAAGUCAGACGUGAAAUCCCUCGGCUUAACCGGGGAACUGCGUCUGAUACUGGAUGGCUUGAGUUUGGGAGAGGGAUGCGGAAUUCCAGGUGUAGCGGUGAAAUUCGUAGAUAUUCGCAAGAACACCAGUGGCGAAGGCGGCUGACUGGUCCGGUUCUGACGCUGAGGCGCGAAAGCGUGGGGAGCAAACAGG